AGAGUCGCCCGGAUCACCGCGUUGCGUAAGCACCGAGGAAAGUCCGGACUCCAGAGAGCAAGGUGGUGGGUAACGCCCACCCGGAGCAAUCCGCGGGAUCAGUGCCACAGAAAACAGACCGCUCAUGCAAAUGAGUAAGGGUGAAACGGUGGUGUAAGAGACCACCAGCAUUUACGGCAACGUAUAUGGCUAGGUAAACCCCACUUGGAGCAAGACCAGACAGAUAGCGUUUGAGAACUGCUCGUUCGAGCUAUCGGGUAGGUCGCUUGAUUA
rnacentral:RNase_P_RNA from 1 species